AUUUGCAUGUUCGCCUAAGAAAAAUGCUUGAUUUUUAUGUCAGCUAAAAGAAAUUUUGAAAAAAUAUUAUUUUUUUUCUGUUAAAAUAAAGGAUUAUAUGUUAAAUUAAUUCUUAUGGCAUUUUGCUCUAAACUUCACGCUUUGAAAUUGUUCAUAUGCUAUUUUAUAUAUACCAGUUUAAUAAUGUACAUAAUCAUGUUUUUUCUAGUUGAAAGACCCUGAUAUAAUGUUGAAAAUGAAUCUUUUUUAAAGUUUUUUCUGUUUUGGUUUUUAUUGUAGGAGGUACUUUCACCUUACAAGCAGGAACAGAAUAUCAAAGUUUAAUUUUUAUGCAAAACAAUCGGAGAGCAAGAAUUGUUUAAAACUGUCCUUCAACACUAGAUACAGUGUAUAACCAUUCAAGUGAUGAUUCCUCUCUCAAUGUUAUAGUAUGAUGACACUCAAUAAUAUUGUGUCACAUGUAUGAACAGAAGAUCAUUUAUAGUGUGCCUGUCUAAUUACAGUGUAAUUGUGUGGACAGUAGACCAGUCUGAAUGUGAAAUGUGACAAUAUUUGAUUUUAGGUGUACCAGUCUAGUGUGAUUGUGGACAGUGAACCAGUCUGAAGGUGACAUAUGACAAUAUUUGAUUUUAGGUGUACCAGUCUAGUGUGAUUGUGGACAGCGGACCAGUCUGAAUGUGACAUGACAAUAUUUGAUUUUAGGUGUACCAGUCUGAUUAAUUAAGAGUAUUGCUACAAUGUAUAAAUCUUAUUAAUUAAAGCUUUGUAGUAUAUAAUUGAUAGUCCCAGUCAAUGGUACAAUGUACCAGUUGUAAAUUAUGGCGUGCAUGUCUGAUUAGAAUCUUACAAGACAAUAAUUUACUGUGUCCAAAUCUGAUAAAUUAAAUUGUGAAAGUCUGUUAUUUAUUAAAAUGUGAUCUGUUUAAUGAAUAAGUCUGAUUUAGAGUGUGAUAAUCUGUAAUGUACAUUGCACCAGUAUGAUACAGGUGUGUCACUAUGUAAUACACAGUGUACCAGUCUGGUAAGAAUGUAAUAAUACGUAAUAAUAUGUUAUUCAUACUGUACCAGUCUGACUAGUGUGACAAUCUGUAAUACAGUGUACCAGUCUGAUUAGUGUGACAAUCUGUAAUGCACAGUGUACCAGUCCAACUAGUGUGCCAAUCUGUAAUGCACGGUGUACCAGUCUGAUUAGUGUGACAAUCUGUAAUGCACAGUGUACCAGUCUGAUUAGUGUGACAAUCUGUAAUACAGUGUACCAGUCUGAUUAGUGUGACAAUCUGUAAUGCACAGUGUACCAGUCCGGCUAGUGUGACAAUCUGUAAUGUACAGUGUACCAGUCUGAUUAGUGUGACAAUCUGUAAUGCACAGUGUACCAGUCUCAUUAGUGUGACAAUCUGUAAUGCACAUUGUACCAGUCUGAAAAGUGUGUGACAAUCUGUAAUGCACAGUGUACCAGUCUCAUUAGUGUGAUAAUCUGUAAUGCACAUUGUACCAGUCUGAAAAGUGUGUGACAAUCUGUAAUGCACAGUGUACCAGUCUGAAAAGUGUGUGACAAUCUUUAAUGCACACUGUACCAGUCUGAAAAGUGUGUGACAAUCUGUAAUGCACAGUGUACCAGUCUCAUUAGUGUGACAAUCUGUAAUGCACAUUGUACCAGUCUGAAAAGUGUGUGACAAUCUGUAAUGCACAGUGUACCAGUCUGAAAAGUGUGGGACAAUCUGUAAUGCACACUGUACCAGUCUGAUUAGUGUAUGGCAAUCUGUAAUACUUAUUGUACCAGCCUGAUAAGAGUGGGACUAUCUGUAAUGCAUAUUGUACCAGUUAGUGUGUGACAAUUUUUAAUGCAAAGUGUACCAGUCGUAUAAGAGUGUGAUGAUCUGUUAAGCAAAGUGUAGCAGUCUGAUCAGAGUGUGACAAUUUGUAAUGCAUAUUGUGCCAGCCUGAUCAGUGUGUGACAAUCUGUAAUGCAUAUUGUGCCAGCCUGAUAACAGUGAGACAAUCUGUAUUGCACAGUGUACCAGUCUGAUUAGUAUGUAAUUAUCUGUAAUGCACAGUGUAGACUAAAUUAAGUUCAGAAUAAAUUUAAGUUUUAGCAAUUGAUAAUAAUUUAAUCGAAGAUUAACAAUUAUUUGAAACAUGUAAGCUUUAUAAUACUGAUGAGGGAAGCUAACUUCCGUCAAGUGUUAUUUUCCUGUUUUUGUCAUAAUUGAGAUUUCUUACCUUUGUCCUGUUUUUCCCAUUAUUUUCCUGUUUACCUACUUUUUAUGUGAAAAUGAAUAAGUUCAGUAUACUUUCAAUUAUUUUUGUUAAAUGAUACAUGUUAAUUCAGCUAAUGUAUGACAAACAUUGGUAAAUUAAUGGGGGGAAAAAACACAAGUCAUUAUCCCAGAGAACAGUAAACUUCUGACCUUGUGGCCUUACUAGAGCAUUUUGUGAAAAAUGGCUGUUUUCAUUGAAAAGCCUCCUGUUACAUGUUCAAAUUGCUAAGGCUUCAAUACUGUUCAAAAGUGGCACAAAUGUUGACUUGACCAUAGCCUUUGUAAAGGCAUACUUAAUCUUAAAUUUCCUAUUACCAUGGCAAGGAGCGGACAUCUCAAAAUUGCCAAGAAUCAUUAUUUUGCUUUGACUUUUCCAUUAAAAUUGAUUUUAAAGUGCUGCAACUUAUCAAUGGAUUGAGAUAGAGUCAAAUGCUUUUAAGUGUUGGUUACACGUUACCUUAUCAUCGAUCUGGGGACAUUUUUAGCCUUUCACAAGUCCAAAAUUUUCUUGGCGAUGAGGGGGACUGCCGCCCCCUUCAAAACCCCCAAACAGAA